rnacentral:sRNA from 1 species
ACAGCCCCAAACCCACCAUCUAUCCGAGAAGAACUCUGUACUGCCUCCCAUGACACCAUUACAGUCCACUGGAUCUCGGAUGAUGAGUUCAGCAUCAGCUCCUAUGAGCUUCAGUACACCAUAUUCACUGGCCAGGCUAACUUCAUCAGCCUGUAUAAUUCAGUAGACAGCUGGAUGAUUGUUCCCAACAUUAAACAGAACCAUUACACAGUGCAUGGACUCCAGAGCGGGACUCGCUACAUCUUCAUCGUUAAAGCCAUAAACCAAGCCGGCAGCCGGAACAGUGAACCUACCCGACUAAAAACAAACAGCCAACCCUUUAAAUUGGAUCCCAAAAUGACUCACAAGAAGUUGAAGAUUUCCAAUGAUGGAUUGCAGAUGGAGAAGGAUGAAAGCUCUCUAAAGAAGAGCCACACCCCAGAGAGGUUUAGUGGCACAGGGUGCUAUGGGGCAGCAGGAAAUAUAUUCAUUGACAGUGGCUGCCACUAUUGGGAGGUGGUCAUGGGUUCCUCAACAUGGUGAGUGGAUCCCAUUUUCCUUUUCUUUUCUGUCCUCUGUCAUUAGGUUCCUAGGAGAUUCAAUUCUAUAGCACAACCAUAAUACCAAUAAGUCAAGGUUAAAAGGUAUGUGAUGAAAACCACUCCUAGAAAAAUUUGCCAGCUUUUUAAUAAAAUAAUGGAAAAUAUACU